AGGCAGGCAGAGAGAGAGGAGGAAGCAGGCUCCCUGCUGAGCAGAGAGCCCGAUGCAGGGCCUGAUCCCAGGACCCUGAGAUCAUGACCUGAGCCGAAGGCAGAGGCUUUACCCCACUGAGCCACCCAGGCGCCCAAAACUAGAGUUUUCGAGUGGUCACCAUUCAGGUCUUAUACAGCUCGGGCCACUCAUUAACACGUUGUAAUGUGGUUUCUAUUGUGAAUGGUACAAUGUUUUUACAAAAUCAUGUGUUUGUUCUAGUUAUUUAUUUUUAUGAAUGAUGAGAGUUGUUCCUCUUUCCUUCCAGUCCUAACUCCUUUAAUUUCUUUUUCUUUCCAAAGAGCAUUGUCCAGGGGGUGCCUGGGUGGUGUAGUUGGUUAAGCGUCAGACUCUUGGUUUUGGCUCAGGUCAUGAUCUCAGGGUCAUGGGAUCGAGCCCUGUGUCAGGCUCCACGCCCAGCGGGGAGUCUGCUUGGGAUUCUCUCUCCCCUCUUCCACUACGCCUCCCUCCCCACUCUCUUUAUAAAAUAAGGAAAUCUUUAAAAAUAUAUAACAUUGUCCAGGAUCCCUCCCCCUAGGUUGAACAAAAGUGAUAAAAGGGGCAUCUGUGUCUUGUUCCAACGUGGAAGAGAAGGCGUGUCGUGUUUCUCCAUUGAGUGUAAUGAUUGCUGCAGGGUUUUGGUACAAAAACUAUUAAAUUGUGGAAGUUCUAUUACUAGCCUGCUAGCAGCUUCUUUAAAAAAAUGAUAAAUAGGUUUGUUGGACUUCUCUGGUGUUUUUUGUUUGUUUUACAUCAAGUGAGAUACGAUUGCCCUUCCCUCCUUUUAGCCUUUUAGUCAGGUUUUCUAAGGUUGAAUUGUCCUUGUGAGACCACUGUCCUGGGACCUUCCUGUAGGUGCAGGUCCCAGCAGGUCCCCCCUCUGCAAGACACCCGACUUCCCUCUACCCUAGGACGCUGAUCAUGUGGGCACGAGACUCCUCGCUGCAUCUGCUGGGACAUCAUCAUACGUACCACUGAGAAGUAGGGCUGGGAGCAGUCCUUGGACGGGAACCGCAUGAUCACCUCGCAUUUGUAAAAUACACUAGUGGAUCUAAACAACUUCUGUAAGAAGAAAUCAGUUGUUCCUUGAGAGUGCAGUGUACUUCGUGUGUAACAACAUUGCUGCCGGAAGCCGACUGACGCCGUAACUUCUUUAGUGCUUGUUGGUCUAUUUAAAUUCUCUUGCUUCUUGUGUCGAUUUUGUCAUUUUGAAUUUUUCUAGAAAUUGGUAUAUUUCAAGUCUGGCAGUCCUUUUCAUUUCUUAAGCUUCCCAGUGUCCGUGUCUUCCCACAAACAAGUAGGCCCUUCAGGUGUGUCUCUUUCCCAUUUCGUUCCUUCUUCCUCCAAGCGUGUUGGCAGGGCAGGUCUCUGCCGCUGUCUGUGGUCUUUCCUUAUGUCCCGCAUUUGAAUGGACUUUUGGCCGGAUAUAAAAUUCCUGAUAGGCCCUGCUUCUCCUUUAAUACAUGAAAUAUCGUCACACUG